UAGUUAGCCGGGGCUUACUCCUAAGGUACCGUCAUUAUUCUUCCCUUAGAACAGAGCUUUACGACCCGAAGGGCCUUCAUCGCUCACGCGGCGUUGCUGCAUCAGGCUUUCGCCCACUUGUGCAAUAUUCCCC
rnacentral:rRNA from 1 species